UGGACUCGAGAAUGUGAAAUGUAAUUGUAAGGUGAAAUUGACAAUUGAGGCAAAAUUGAGAAAUUUAUUAAUAUCCAAUCAGGUUGCAGUUACAAAUGAUUGGUAAUGUGAGAAUAGAACUCCAAGAUGAUUCUUGAGCUUCAAUGGAUUCCCGUAAUGGAGAAUUUAGGUUACAGAGAGAAGAGAAAUUGGGAAAGACGAAGAAGAGAGAAAGAUUGAGGAAGAAGAAUACCAGAUCAAUAACUGCCUCCUUAGCUAUCAAUUUUUGUUAUUUAACAACUCAGCAUAACAAACUCAGCAUAGAUCUCAACCGUUGAUUUGCUUCUAAUUGUGGCCGUUGAUCACUUAUUCACAUGGAUUAAUGAGCUGGCCCCACUGUAGCACGUGCGAUACGCGUGCACUUCUUUAUUCAUGGCUAAUUGACUAAAUCCCCAAUUCCACCUAAAUCAAUCUCAAUUCGAAUGACCUAAACAAACCCUAAUUGACUCCACUUUCAUAACAAAACCUCAAGUUAGGUUGGGCUUAGGCUUUAGGUUUUAUUGGGCAAUAUGAGAAAGAUAACUUUUGCUUUAGGGUUUCUUCUCAAUGUCAACCUUUUUCUUUGAAUUCUAAUUAGGUUGGGCUUGGGUUUUAGGUUCUAUUGGGCAAUAUGGGAAAGAAACUUUCGUUUUAGGGCAUCUUCUCAAUGUCAACCUUUUGGCUACCUAUAUAAGAUUCAAUCUUCUUUCAUUGGGAUCCUGCAUUGGUUGCAUAUUCCAAGGUAUGUAGUUUGAAUUUUCUUUUCUUCUCAUCUUUUUGUUUUAGGGCUUCUUCUCAUUGUCAACCUUUUAGCUGCCUAUUUAAGAUCCAAUCUUCUUUCAUUGGGAUCCUGAAUUGGUUGCAUAGUCCAAGGAGAUAAGCUGGAGAAGAGGACAUUGGGAUUCUCUCUUGGAAUACCUUGACUAUCCAGAUGAAAAAUGGGCAUGGACAAAGCUAUAUCAAGUGCCCCCAUAUCAAAGCGGAGAGUCAAAGAGAGCAGGAAACUGAUGCUGCGACCUGAGUAUCCUCCAAUCCACUUUAAAAGCGAAGGAGAUCGUUCUUGAGAUCUUCUCUUCAACCUUUUCCGACGCUCCUCUCUUUAUGAACAUGACUUGUG